AAAGACAGACCGACAGACAGACAGACAGCUGGCAAGAGGCAGCCUGGGGGCCACAGCUGCUUCAGCAGACCUCAUGGCUGAGUGAGCCUCCCCUGGGCCCAGCACCCCACCUCAGCAUGGUCCAAGCCCAUGGGGGGCGCUCCAGAGCACAGCCGUUGACCUUGUCUUUGGGGGCAGCCAUGACCCAGCCUCCGCCUGAAAAAACGCCAGCCAAGAAGCAUGUGCGACUGCAGGAGAGGUGAGAUCUUCCCUGGGGGAGGGGUCUUCCGAGCCCUGAGCCCCCAUUCCGCUCCUCCCUUCCUUCCAUCUGCCCCUCCAGCUCUGACAGCAGGGUCCAGAGGGCCCUCAGUUGUUGACUCCAAUUUGGAAAGGAAACCAGUAGUGCUCAUUUGCAUGUCUUUUGCAUGUCUGGAGCACAGAGUUUCAUAUCAACCAUGAGCCUGCUCCCUAAAUUCCAGGCAAGGCCCACAGCCUUCUUGGUGCUGGAUGCAUGUCGGAGCCACAGGGCCUGGCUGGGAGUGGGAAGAGGCAGGCAGCUGGAAGGAGCAGUUGAGUUCAAGGCUGCCCUGUUCUGGCUGACAAAGGGAGAGGGCUGAGCCAGGCAUGGUAGCUCAUGCCCAAAAUCCCAGCACUUUGGGAGGCUGAGGUGAGAGGAUCUCCUGAGUCCAGGAAUUAGAGACCGGCCUAGGCAAUAUAGUGAGACCUCCUCUCUCUCAAAAAAAAAAAAAAAAAGAGGGCACACAGCAGGGGCCCAAACCCUAAAUUUACUGGGCUACCAGGUUAAAGGAAAGAUAAAGAGCGGCCCCCUCAGAGGUGCCUUAUAACAGUAAUACUUGUAAGAAAAGCAAAUAUGGUCAGGCACAGUGGCUCAUGCCUAUAAUCCCAGCACUUUGGGAAGCCAAGGCAGAAGGAUCACUUGAGCCCAGGAGUUCAAAACCAGCCUGAGCAACAGAACAAGACACUGUCUCUCCAAAAAAAAAAAAAACUUAAAUUAGCCAGGUGUGGUAGCAUGUACCUGUGGUCCCAGUUACUCUGGAGGCUGAGGUGGGAGGAUUGCUUCA
rnacentral:lncRNA from 1 species